ACUUACAAUCUUGCACCUUGUACGUAUUUACAUAUUACACUGAGCAAUAAAGAAAAGACGCUCAUUCCAUCUGGGCAGAGUUUUAUAAUAAUCGAAAAGCUGAAAAAGAAGCUAAGGAAGAAGAAGAAAAAGAAGAAGAAAAUCAUGAAGAGCAAUGCUUCCGCCACGCCAUGCAAUUGGCGACGGGGGCUUCAGGUGCCUUUUGGUGCUAAACACUGUGUUAGGAUGGAUGUUUUAGAGACCAAAAACCCCGAUGAUGCACCGGCCACUCUGUACCGGAUGCUUGCAUUCCUGGCUAGUUACUGAUAGGGAAUGGAACGCAAAUACCAUAAAAAGGGACAAAUACAACAUCCAGAGGCACUUUUGAAAGAUGGAAACUUUUCUGCUUUUAGUAAUUGCUGAAGAGAGAGCAGAUGAAACAAGACCAGGAGUCUUCCCUUUCUCCUCUGGAGCGCAGCAAUAGUAGAGGGCAGUAGGAAUUAGAUAGACAAUGGAGAAGACGGUAGUUACUACUUCUUGACUUUUUCUUUUCGUCUUUUAGUAGUUUUCUUCUCUCGUAUGUCAGGAAAAGGUAGAAACCAAGGAAUCAUUGGCCGUAGCUUCGUUUUUUUCCUUCAUUAUUCGAACGUAUUGAAUUCUCCCUAUCAAGGAUAAUGGCCGCUACUGUUUCAUCAACUUUGUGUGGGUGUUACUCAUCAGGGAUGAACUAAAUCCAUGUUUUUUAGUCAAGGAACAACGGAGGUUUUGGUUCGUUUAAAAUUUGUGAGAUCGAAUUAAUUUUAUCUUUUUUUUUUUUUUUU